CCCUUUCAUGAAUGUGACCUACCGAAUUAGACUAUUUACCGGAUUUGUAAUCACAUAAUCAACACGACGUGUGGAGCAGGAUCUGCUUACCCUUCCGGAGCACCUGAGAUCACCCCUAGUUUUUGGUGGGGUUCGUGUUGUUUAUUCUUUGGUUUUCUAUGUUGUGUCAUGUGUACUAUUGUUUUUCUGUUUGUCUUUUUUCAUUUUUAGCCAUGGCGUUGUCAGUUUGUUUUAGAUUUAUGAGUUUGACUGUCCCUUUGGUAUCUUUCGUCCCUCUUUUA
rnacentral:lncRNA from 1 species